AUUCCCUCAGUAACGGCGAGUGAAGCGGGAAGAGCUCAAAUUUAAAAUCUGGUUUGCUUGCAAGCCCGAGUUGUAGUCUGAAGAAACGUUUUCCAUAAGCACUGAGGCAAAAGUCCCUUGGAACAGGGCAUCAUAGAGGGUGAGAAUCCCGUCCAUGGUCUCAAGUUGUUUAUUUUGUGAUACGUUUUCAAAGAGUCAGGUUGUUUGGGAAUGCAGCCUAAAAUGGGUGGUAAAUUUCAUCUAAAGCUAAAUAUUGGCGAGAGACCGAUAGCGAACAAGUACCGUGAGGGAAAGAUGAAAAGAACUUUGAAAAGAGAGUUAAACAGUACGUGAAAUUGUUGAAAGGGAACCGUUUGAAGCCAGUCUUACUUGCCUGUGAUCAAUUUUUGCCUCGGCAUGAAUGCACUCUCGGGUAUGGUAGGCCAACGACAGUUUGGAAUGCGAGAAAAAAAUAAGGGAAAUGUGGCCUUCGGGUGUUAUAGUCCCUUAUAAAAUAUCGUGUUCUGGACUGAGGAUCGCAGCAAAAACGUGGGCAGGUGGAUUUCUGUGGUAACUGUCGGUUAGGACAACUUGUUGACCUAGUCUUCCUUAGCCUCACUAUUUACCUCGCUUCUAAUUUGCUUAGGUCGUUGGCAUAAUGGCUUUAAAUGACCCGUCUUGAAACACGGACCAAGGAGUCUAACAUAUAUGCGAGUAUUUGGGUGGCAAACCCAUAUGCGCAAUGAAAGUGAAAUUAGGUGCCAAACCUUCACGGGUGGCAGCAUCGGCCGGCUCUGACGUUUUAACUGACGAGUCUGAGCAGAAGCAUACAUGUUGGGACCCGAAAGAUGGUGAACUAUGCCUGAAUAGGGUGAAGCCAGAGGAAACUCUGGUGGAGGCUCGUAGCGAUUCUGACGUGCAAAUCGAUCGUCAAAUUUGGGUAUAGGGGCGAAAGACUAAUCGAACCAUCUAGUAGCUGGUAUGC
rnacentral:rRNA from 1 species